UCCCCGAUUCUCAUACGCUACCAACCCAGCCACGAUAGAGAGAGAGUGAGAGAGGGAGAGAGAGAGGGGAACCCUAGCAAAAGCAGAGAGCCUCCUCUGCAACCCACGGCCACGCCCACGCCGGUAGAGAGAUGAGUGAUCAGCACCCAAGAUCGUCGCCAAUGAAGGAGGAGGGAUCCACGAAGGUGUUGUAGUUUAUUCUGACGCUUUUGAUGCUUGAUGCUCUCUACAUGUGUGUGUUGAUGGGGGGUUGUGUCCAGGCCUUUGGCUAGGAUUUGGAAUUAUGAUGAAGCUACCCUUCUCAACAGUUUUGACAAUCAUAAUUUCCUGAUAAAGGAAUUUCUAAACUCUGCAUCGUGAAUGAGCUUGAUGACAGCUUGCCGCUUGUUGCCUCAUUUGAUGGAAAUGUUCGGAUUUGGAAAGAUUCAACACUCAAGGAUCAACAGAAACUUGUAACUGCAUUCUCUUCAAUCCAAGGUCAUAGACCUGGUGUAAGAAAGUGUGAAUGCUGUUGUGGACUGGCAACAACAAUCAGGAUAUCUGUAUGCUGCUGGCAAGAUAUCAUCCAUCAUGGCUUGGGAUCUGGAUAAAGAGCAGCUUGUUUAUUCAAUUCCUUCAUUAUCGGAUUCCAGCAUGGGUUUUACUUCUUCCCUGUACUGGUUCUUAACAUUUUUACUCUCUUGAGGUAUAGCAGUCUGCAUCUCAAGUUCAUGGGGUCAACUUGCAGCUGGUUUUGUGGAUGGUUCUAUCAAGCUAUUUGACAUCCGACCCCAAAAUCAUGGCCACACGCUAGGACAAUAGAAAGAGUAGUGGGAAUUGGCUUUCAGCCUGGGCUGGAUCCUGCAAAGGUAAAUGGAGCACCAUGAUGGUUAGAUGCCUUUUUUCUCUUUCUUUUUGGUGAAAAUUUGGGUUUAUGAUUUUUCUGCGGCCUAUCAAAUGCUGUUACUUGAUGAUCCUCUCUUGAAAAAUCAUUAUUACAGUGAGCAUUUAGGUGUGAGAUACAUAAAAUCUUACCUUCUCUUGCUUGGCUGUUUGACUGCCUUUCUCCAUAUUCUGAGUGCGUCUGAGGCUGGUGAAAUUCAGUUACUUGAUAUGAGAAAUGGCAAUCAUGCCUACCUCACGAUUGAUGCUCAUAGGGGCUCACUUACUGCUUUGGCUGUUCAGCGAGAUGCCCCACUUAUUGCCCGCAGUUCAGCAAAACAAUUCAUCAAAGUCUUUAGCCUGGAGGGUUCACAACUAUGCACCAUCAGAUUCAACCCAACCUCCAUGGCCCGGAAGAUUGGACCUGUGAGUCACCUCACAUUUCAUCCAUAUCAGGUGCUACUUGCUGCUGGUGCUGCAGAUGCUCUUGUCUCUAUCUAUGGUAAUGACAACUCUCAAGCGUGAUAAAUGCAUGUUCUUUCAUGAUUAUCUGCUUGAUAACAGGCUUCAUUUCGGAGGCAGCUGCAAAGUGCCCAUUAACUUACAUUGAGAUAUCACCAAAAUCACUGCACUUUGGUUCUCCAGGUGCGUCACGUUCUGCUGCCCCAAUACCUCUUCACACUCAAAUGUUUCUGGAAAUGCUGUCUGUGCAUGCUGUGUUGAAAUUGUAUGCUAUAUAUUCAUUAGCCUCCAUUGGAUAGGAUCACUCAUGUUGGGAAGUUAUUUGGAUGCUUUGGCAAAUAAUCUCUCUCUCUCUCUAUAUAUAUAUACACAUACAUGCAUACAUAAGAAGUUAAGCCGUUCUUUCCUUAUUUUUUCUUUUUUCUUUUGCUUGGGGUGUGUUUUUUCUGCUCCAUCUCUUUGCUGAAUUUGUAAAAGCAGCGAAUUUUAUCAUUAUUAUAAUUUUAAGUGUUGCUGACAAGUGAAAUGGGUCUUUAGUCCGUGAAAUGAAUGGUGUUCAAACCUGUCCAUUGUCUAGCAUUUUGUA